GACGAACCGUCCUAACGUUGUUCGGAAUCACUGGGCUUAAAGGGCGCGUAGGCGGGUUCCCAAGUCGGUGGUGAAAUCUUUCGGCCCAACCGGAAAACAGCCGCCCGAUACUGGGAGUCUUGAGGGAGGUAGGGGUCGAUGGAACUUCCGGUGGAGCGGUGAAGUGCGUAGAUAUCGGAAGGAACGCCGGUGGCGAAAGCGAUCGACUGGACCUUUUCUGACGCUGAGGCGCGAAAGCCAGGGGAGCAAACGGG
rnacentral:rRNA from 1 species